rnacentral:rRNA from 1 species
UGGGGAAUAUUGCACAAUGGGCGCAAGCCUGAUGCAGCCAUGCCGCGUGUGUGAAGAAGGCCUUCGGGUUGUAAAGCACUUUCAGCGAGGAGGAAGGUGGUGAGCUUAAUACGCUCAUCAAUUGACGUUACUCGCAGAAGAAGCACCGGCUAACUCCGUGCCAGCAGCCGCGGUAAUACGGAGGGUGCAAGCGUUAAUCGGAAUUACUGGGCGUAAAGCGCACGCAGGCGGUUUGUUAAGUCAGAUGUGAAAUCCCCGGGCUCAACCUGGGAACUGCAUUUGAAACUGGCAAGCUAGAGUCUCGUAGAGGGGGGUAGAAUUCCAGGUGUAGCGGUGAAAUGCGUAGAGAUCUGGAGGAAUACCGGUGGCGAAGGCGGCCCCCUGGACGAAGACUGACGCUCAGGUGCGAAAGCGUGGAGAGCAAAACAGGAUUAGAUACCCUGGUAGUCCACGCUGUAAAACGAUGUCGAUUUUGGAGGUUGUGCCCUUGAGGCGUGGCUUCCGGAGCUAACGCGUUAAAUCGACCGCCUGGGGAGUACGGCCGCAAGGUUAAAACUCAAAUGAAUUGAC